UUGUAAUUAAGGGCAUUUAUGUAUACAAUGAUCGAUGAUCGCACUGAUAGACUGUCCGUCAUCAAAUUUACCAAAAUGGUUCACGCGUUUGGUGUGGACGAGGAGACUUCGUCGGAUCUUCGUGACGUACUCGAUAAGGAUAAAGACGGUUUUAUUACCGAAAAAUAGAUCGAAGCUAUAACAGAUGUCACCGAUGAGAUGUGGUUGGGAUUUUUAAAUGAGGCAGAUGAAUACAAAGAGGUAGAAGACUUCAGGAAAAGUAAAAAAGAAAAAGAGGAACUAUAGAAUUAAAACAUUCAAAAACCUUGACCUUAGAUUUUGUGAAAAUUACCAUGAAUGUAAAUUUUUUGCAAUGAUUUAAUUGUGCUAAUAGUUAUGUUUGAUCAAUUGUAAAUAAUAUUGUAAUGAAGAGCGGUAACAAUUUUAAAAUAUAUAACUGAAUUGAGAAAUGU